rnacentral:tRNA from 1 species
GGUGAGGUGGCCGAGUGGUUGAAGGCGGCGCUCUCGAAAAGCGUUAUAUCGGGUUUCCGAUAUCGUGGGUUCGAAUCCCUCCCUCACCGCCA